GGAAAUCGCAGCCAUACGGGCUGUGCUCCCCCAGCUGAACUGUCUCUGCAUUUUAGCGGUGGGAGAAAAGACGCUAUAUGGCGAUGUGCUCCACCCUGCCAACCUCAUCUGUCAGCCAUUAGUUAAUCAGGGCUGGUAACACAGAGCACAGAGAGCUGGCACAGCUCGUGGGACCAGAGGACAGCUUCACCUCUGAGAGCAAGAAGAGGGCAAGGACUCAGGGACCUCUGCUUCACCGAUCUACAGCUGGGCUGCUUCACUCACCAGCACCCACUCAGGACUGGCAGGCGUCAACCUCAAGAUGACCCCACCCACUGCUUUACUGUGAACAGAUUUAAAUUAAAGCCAUGACAAGAACCGUGCUUGUGAGGACCAGGGGGACCUUCCAGCCACCGCUUCUAUUGCUCACACUCGGCUGGCACAUGUGCAGGAUCAGGAAACACAAGCCCAAUGAUGUCACAAACAACUGACCCCAGGGUGACAGGUUCGGAGAGUGUUCUUGCCCACUGCCCUCAGGCCAAAGUCAAGUAUGUCAAUGUUGUGCAUGUGGAUUUCAUUUGAAGCAGCGUGAUUAGUUCACAGACGCGCAACUGCCAACCCCCCCUCCAUGGGAACUCCACUCUUGACAGGAAAUGGUAUGUUUUUGUUAGCAACAAACAGGCAUAAAUUACUAAAAUGGUGCCUUGGUUGCCAAUUUAUCACACACAGCCUUAUUGUUGCUGCCUGCACACACUGACUUUGACAUUGCUUUUAAUGUAAAUACUAUUAGUUAAUGAUAUUUACAUUCCUGAUAGUUUAUGUUGAACUGUGUCUGCAAUCAUAAAUUUGUGAAAUAAAUGUGAUGAUUGUGUUGUGUCUUUUCUUCUUUAUAUGACAAAUAUGUUUUGAUGACCUGUAUUUGGGAAAUAAAUAUAGCUUUUGGUAAUCAUUCAUUCAUUUUGAAGCUGUCACUGCAAAAUUAGAAAUGAUUAAAGAUCCAGGGAGCAUAAUGGAGGCAGAUUAUUUUGGAGAGACAAACUAAAGCAAUAAAUGAAAUGACAUUUGAAAAAUAGUUUUGGACAUAAUUGUCCUUCUUUUAUUGAAUGCCAGCAUAAAAGAUUACUCGUUGAUCAAAUGUUUAUCAGAAAGCCGUGCAGAUUUGUGAAUACUGUCAAGAGGGUAGUAUACCAUCAUUAAUAAAAGCCAUUUCCCUGUAAGUAAGUUAUAGAUAGUAAUGGCUUGGCUAAAAUGUCUUAUAAGUAAUGGUAUCUGUGGAAUAAUAAAUGUGUUAACUACUUCCCCAAGAGGGGAUUAAACAGUAUACAAUAAUAUUAAAUCUUUUUCAUGUGUGAUAUAUAUUUAAGAAUGUACUUGAUAUAUUGAAAAAACUACCAGGAUUUUUUUUGUUGAGCUACUGCUACAAACUGAUGUGACCAAUAUUGCUGUUGCAAAAAAAGGUAUUUUUAUUUAGCACCGAAGAAUACUUUGGGGACACUACCAACAGAAGAGGCCAUUAGAUAAGGUAAGACGCACUCUGAAGCCAUGAGAAAUAUGUUGACAAUGGUAUGUAAUACAAGAACCCCUUGACCAUUUUAUUACCCUCUGUCCUCUAAAAGACCAUCAGCUUCUAAAGUUUUGCCAUUUUACUGAGAAAAUGUUAAUGUUUGGUUCUAUGAAAUGAUUAAAAAGUUAAGAAAAAAAAAUGGUGUGACAGCUUCCUGUAAUAUAUGAUAGAAGGCACAUGUAUAAAGAUAAUUUGCUAACCAAUGUUACCCUUUGAUUUAAGUCUAAUUAUUUUAGUUGAAUCACAUUUAUGCUUCACUGGUGCUUUAUAUAGAGCCAUAUUAAAAAUAUGCUUCACUGCAGUUGGUUAAUUAGCGGUUUCCUAUAAUAGCAUGUACUGAUAUGGUCUUUUAUGAGUUGCAUGAAGCCUAUGGUAAACUAUGUACUUGAAUAACUACAUUAUUUGAAUAUACUGUCAGAUAAUACUUCUCACACAGGUGCUUUAAAAAGCUAUUUCAAUGUGUGUUUCCUUUUAAAGAAUGACCUCAAAACAAUAUCAAAUACAUAAUUCAAUCAGCAGUUUUAAAUAUUUGCUUUCCAUGUCUUUCUUUUGGAUCUCCUCAACUAAACAACCCUUGCCAGCAUGCAUUAAUACCAAUUAUUGUUGUAGCAAAAGUAAUACUCUGUAGGUCUCCUGCCAAAUGCAUUACAGAGAGCUCCAUUAAUGCAAUGGUAAACAGAUGUGCCACCCAGCACCAAAGUUUGAUUUGGACUGCGUAUAUUUUCUCGAGGGACAUUACAAAAUAAAAUGUUAAAAAGAACAUGAUAGGAAAAGGCCUGCAGUGUUUUUAAACUACAUUAUGCAGAGGCAUGUAUUAAAUAUGGAUUACUGAUAAAGGCCGAUAAAGAGAAUGAAGUCAAAUGAAGGUCAAAUACAUAAAUACCACAAAAUCACCUACAAGUCAAGUCUUUUCUAUGAACCCUUUAUAGUACCUCAGCUACACACUAUAUAGUGCUGGUUGUAUUGCAUGUCCAUGGUGUAGCAGAACAUAUAAGUGUCUUAAAAGUGUUUAAAACUACUAUAUAUGAUAGAAUAACUACUGUGUCAACAACUGUUAAAGCAAUAAACUAUAUUCCAAGUGUUA